UUUUAAUUUAAUUAAAGUUUCAUUAUGACUAAUUUUAAGCCAAAUAAAGAAUCAAGGAGGGGUUCUCCUUUUACAAAGAAGGCAACCCCUCCUACUUCAUCAAUACUUUCGAUGUGGUACAAAGGAAUCACACCUCACGCUUUCAGCAACUAGAAUGUUUUUCUAUAAACAUGUUGAAUUCUUGGCUGACAUGAGGUUGUGGUCUAAUGGUAGUAGCAUGUAACAUGUUGCUUGCGUGGCUUAGGCUCGAUGCCCAGCUCAGUAAACUUUGUUUUUCUUUUUGGAUUUUGCACUUUCCUUUUCUUUUUAUUUCCUUUUUUUUUUCAUCUCUUUUGUAUUUUCUUUCCUUUUUAUGUUCUUUGUUUAGUAAAUGUCUACAAAUUAAUUAUUUAUUUUAUUGAGGUUCUAUUUUUAUUCUUUUUGAAAAAAUAUUUAAUUUAAAAA
rnacentral:misc_RNA from 1 species